GGUCAGUCACUGGGCGCCACUCGCCUGCGGGCACCAUUGCUAAGACGCCCUCUCGGCUUGGCUCUGGGGGCUUUGGGAUGACCUCUAAAGGAAAGUGCCCAUCACUCCUCCUCAUCCUGCGCAUCCCAUAAUCCGAUCCACUUAGCUGGCCGCUCGGCGUGCAGGUGCGGCUGCCUUUAAAUUUAGCGUCGCCUGCUAAUGCCAUCUUAGUGAGGAUUUGUAAAGCUGAGCACCGUUACUGCCCUCCUGCCAGGGGCCGCCCAAGGGGGUCUCAUGUGGCUGUCCGGCCAGCCACCGUCCAUCCUUGGGUGAAACAAACCCUGACCGCACUCCAGCAUGUCAGAGGACCCACUUGCCAGCUAAUGACUGUGCCACCACCUACCUUGGCACAUUAGAGGUCAGGGCAGGCCCAGUGAGGACAUUCAGUAAGGUGAUGGCACCAACUGCGAGAGGCCCUAUAAAAAAGCAGAAAUGAGAGAGUGGCAUAACCUCGCUGGAGCAAGAAAAUGUCAUUAGAGGCAGCAAACCAUCAAGCGGGCACUUGUGGUACAAAUGGCCUCACCCGGGCACAGCAAGGACAAGGGUUCAGAUCUCUCUGGGCUGCCAUCGGACAUCGCCUCAAACACGCCCGCCAUGCCCUUGAUAUUGCAAAACAGCAGCGGCCGGUAAUGCAGCAUGGGUGCACAGUAGGGGGCAGCACCGUUGAUCGUCAGUCCAUCCAGACACGCUAGCCUUGUGGCACAGCCUGGCAAGAACAAUUCGCCUCCUCGCCCGCCAUACCCACAUGUUAUUCCUCUAUUAAGUUUCAUAUUCCAAUGUCUGCCCGUGUCGCCCCCGGGUGGCCACAGUCCUGCGCUGUAAGCCCCAAUGUUACCUUAACUCUCUGGGAUUGUGGAUGCCAACCUCGCCCAAGCUGUAAUGUGUCUCAGGAUGAUGGAAUGGCACUAUUUAAAAUAAAGAGGCUUUGUCUCAUGUUACAUGGCAAUGGGUGGCACACCAGGACCAACCUUGGGUGGGAUAUGCCCACCCUGGAAAUGGAAAUACAUGAACAGCAUCAUAGAACAUGGCAAAGGUGCCAACCAGCCCAGCAUGACACCUGAACUGUUAGGAGAGCCUGCCAACUGCACAUGGCUGGACAGGCUUUGAAAUGGCACUCAAACAUUAGCCAAUCAAGAGGCCAACCCACUGGCAGACGGGCAUGCCAGCUGCCAGUGCAGACCAACACAGGUGCCAUGCAGGUGUGUGCUGUGCAGGUGCUUUCUGUUUUGGAAAACGGGACUGGAAUGGGGCUGGAGGCGGAACACAAGACCAAUCCGCUGGCCAGUGAUGCUCACUUUUUAUAGCGCCUUUCUCUUACUGCACCAGUGCCAUAACGCAUGGCAGACCCCGACUGAAGAUCCGGCGAGUCCCCCGAGACCACAAUAUCACCGAACAAACCCACUUAAUCCACACUGGGCACGAGGCAGCAGUCCAUGCCAGGGUGUGCACAUCGUCACAUGGAGGGGUGCCAUACGUGCUGCCCUCUUCACCCCCAGCCUUCUAAAUAUGUCGGCUGAUUUUCUUAUAGGCACUGCCACCAUGGUGCCCCUUUCUAAAGAUGCCAUACUCUGUCUACAACAGUGCACUCCUUUUCUGCGUGGACUCUGCCAGUUUUCUCAGUGUCAAUGUUGGCGAUGUUUCCAGCAGGUGGACGGGUCAGGUAGGCUCAGGGCCAUUAACAGCAAAGGUGGGCUUAGGAAAUCGAUGGGUCAGGCAGGGUGGUCCUGGUCCUUGGACGGAGAAGGGGGCCACCAAAUGCCUCCUCUCUUCAAAAUGAUUUUACUAGAAGAGAGCAGGAGAAUGUCGUGGCGUCUCGAGCGGCCAAAGGCUCAGAAUUCAGCGAUGCCAACACGAGGGGGCACACCUGGCCAUGGUGGGCAGGUCCAGUCGCGUGAGUCCGCCUCCUCGGGGGUUCCAUGUGUGUGUGCGCGUGUGUGUGUGCGCUCCGCAAUCUGCUCAAUCCGAGCUCGACUUCCGGACGGGAAGUGCCGGAGUUGUUCUGCGGGUCGAGGGGGCAGGCGAGAACCCCAGACGGGAUGCCGCCGGUCACGACACACACGUGUUCCGCGCCUUCAGCCGGCACGUGAUCGCGGCCGCUCAUUCUUCGGAGAGUCACGACCUCACUUCCGCGUUCGCGGGUCGCCAUGGAGACGCAGGACUCUUCGGACGGGGCAGUCGGCGCGCUCGGCUCUCCUUGUUUGUGCCCCCACCCACCGCCUGGCUGGCAGGUGAACUUAUUUAGGGCGGGCGCGCAGUGAACGACUCACACCAAGUGCCUCGUCCGCCUUGUGUGCUGUGGUCCGCGCCAGGUGACUGUGGGGGGCGGGGAGGGCAGGUGGGCUCGGCGACAUUCAAGCGCCCAAGUAGCUGACCCCGAGGAUCGCUCCAUCGCUCCAUCUCUCGCUUUUUUUUCUUCUUCUUCUUCUUCUUCUUGACGCGCACGGCUGGGGAGAACUUUGACCGGCGGAGCGGCGAUCGUCAAGUCACCUGGAAUGUCCUGCUCUCCGGCGGGGCCACGCGAUAAAAAGUGCAAAGAGUGCCGCCCGUGAAAACACCUGGACAAGAAACAGGGGAGGCGGCCAUUAAGGAGCCCUUCAGCUGGGGACCCCCGCGACAGCGAAGCCCUCCUUUGUCGCCCGGACUAAGCAGUUAAUGAGCCUAGCGGCGCGGAUGAGGACACGCGGGCUGAAGAUCACCUUGUGGCUGCUGCGUCACUGACCUGCUCAUGUCCGCCGCUCCGCCAGCCACCUCCGUGACACCGACAGUGGCCGUCAUGUCCGCUCUGGGGGUCAACGAGCUCACGGUGGUGAUAGCGACAAGCUCCUGUAUGAUCUUCUUCAUCAUCAUCAUGGUGCUGCUCAUCAUCAUGUACCAGAAGGACCCGCUCUGCUGUAAAGCCAGACAUACUGGGGGCAGGAUGGCCAGCCAGCAGU